AUUGAACGCUGGCGGCAUGCCUUACACAUGCAAGUCGAACGGCAGCACGGGAGCAAUCCUGGUGGCGAGUGGCGAACGGGUGAGUAAUAUAUCGGAACGUGCCCGGUCGUGGGGAUAACGUAGCGAAAGCUACGCUAAUACCGCAUACGAUCUACGGAUGAAAGCGGGGGAUCGCAAGACCUCGCGCGAUUGGAGCGGCCGAUAUCAGAUUAGGUAGUUGGUGAGGUAAAGGCUCACCAAGCCGACGAUCUGUAGCUGGUCUGAGAGGACGACCAGCACACUGGGACUGAGACACGGCCCAGACUCCUACGGGAGGCAGCAGUGGGGAAUUUUGGACAAUGGGCGCAAGCCUGAUCCAGCAAUGCCGCGUGCAGGAUGAAGGCC
rnacentral:rRNA from 1 species